rnacentral:lncRNA from 1 species
AAGGACAGUGAAUUGUGCUAGUGUAGCGGCUCAACAGAAGUGAUUCCGAGGUCGUAAGGAUUACGAGUCGAAUGUCCUGGUUUCAGUUUUAGGUGGAGCUAUAGGUGGCUAAACAAGGGAGGCCACGGUACUAAAAAUCAAGUGAUUUGAUGUGCUCACAAGAUGUAAUGUUGCUAGAAUAUAAAUCACCAAGAAUCUGAAUGCGUAAACUGAAUUUUCAGUGAGGAAACCGCAAUACAACCCCUUUCCUCUUCUUCUACUUUUCCUGUUCUUUCUCUUUUCUUUUCUCUGUUUUUUUACUUUUUUAACCCUUUUUUUAUACUAACAGGGGUGCGGAUAGCAAAUGAAACACAACACAAUAUAUGUAAAGAGGGUGACUAGCAACUUGAUGAACACAAAACACAAGAUAACAGUACCGUCAAAGGGCUUUAGGAUUUUUUGUGGCUUUUACAGUGGACUAUAGGUGAUGAACAAAUCAAUAGCAAAUGAUUGAUAUACUAAAGAUAAAUAUGUGGACGUUUGUAAGAUCAACCGUGACAACGAAAGCUUUGAUACCAGUUGAUAAACUACAUGAUAUUGCAGCCGCGCUGCUGAGUGCCUUACGCAACCUUUGUUCUUCCUUGUUCUUCUUGGACUUGUGUAGUGAAUCCUCUGGGUUCCCCUACUUCGUGCUCUACGGCUUCCGUUCGGCUGUGCCGUAUUGUGUGGAUUAGUUCCGGAUUGUGGUUCAACGGUCGUUUGGAGAUCGAGUCGAAGUCUUUGUGGUUUCGGUGCUUCUCCCCCCCGGUGUGAAAAGUACUAGUUGCUUAGGUUUGUGUAACCUUGCAAGCUAGAAUUGAUUAGGAGAGCACUAGCUAGUUUGGCACCUUGAUUUCUUGUGUAGGAUCUUUUACAAGGUGCUUCUAGAGAUAUAGUUAGAGGGGUGACGUCUUGGCUAGGCCUAUAGUUUUAGUUCUGCACUUUGUUGGGUUAGCUGGAGCGAUUAUUUUUAGAAAGGACUAUUCAGCCCCCCUCUAGUCCGCCAUCUCGACCUUUCACGUUUAGGAACCGCAACCGAAGAUUUCCCCUCUUAAUAGUGCGGC